UACGUAGGGUCCGAGCGUUGUCCGGAAUUAUUGGGCGUAAAGGGCUCGUAGGCGGUUUGUUGCGUCGGGAGUGAAAACUUACAGCUUAACUGUGAGCGUGCUUCCGAUACGGGCAGACUUGAGGUAUUCAGGGGAGAACGGAAUUCCUGGUGUAGCGGUGGAAUGCGCAGAUAUCAGGAGGAACACCAAUGGCGAAGGCAGCUCUCUGGUACAUGAUUGACGCUGAGACGCGAAAGCGUGGGGAGCGAACAGG
rnacentral:rRNA from 1 species